rnacentral:rRNA from 1 species
GACGAACGCUGGCGGCGUGCUUAACACAUGCAAGUCGAACGGAAAGGCCCUGCUUUUGUGGGGUGCUCGAGUGGCGAACGGGUGAGUAACACGUGAGUAACCUGCCCUUGACUUUGGGAUAACUUCAGGAAACUGGGGCUAAUACCGGAUAGGAGCUCCUGCUGCAUGGUGGGGGUUGGAAAGUUUCGGCGGUUGGGGAUGGACUCGCGGCUUAUCAGCUUGUUGGUGGGGUAGUGGCUUACCAAGGCUUUGACGGGUAGCCGGCCUGAGAGGGUGACCGGCCACAUUGGGACUGAGAUACGGCCCAGACUCCUACGGGAGGCAGCAGUGGGGAAUAUUGCACAAUGGGCGGAAGCCUGAUGCAGCAACGCCGCGUGCGGGAUGACGGCCUUCGGGUUGUAAACCGCUUUCGCCUGUGACGAAGCGUGAGUGAAGGUAAUGGGUAAAGAAGCACCGGCUAAAUACGUG